UACUCUGAUUUUCCAUUUAACCAGUACAAGCCUCUAGUCCUGGGCUAGGGUACAUUUUGAUUUACGUCGGACAAAGCCGAUAAUUUGGUCGGACACCAAUACACUCGGGUCGGACAAACAAUAAACCUCAGUUUCACUUAGGUCGGACAGAAUGUCCGGUGGUUUCCUUUCUACGUCGGACAAUUUCACGAAUGGGUCGGACAAUGUCCGUGACCGACCGAUAUUUUAAGGCCUGCGAAGAGUGAUAAAGAUGAACGUAUCUCAUGAUCUGAUUUUGGCAAUUUGUCCAGAAAACUGAGGAGGCCCAUCAGUAAAUUAUUUUGUAUAUAUGUACAUGUAAUUUAAUGGUUGCUGGGAUUAUGUUGCAGCAACCUUAAUAAACGAUGUGGAAAUGCAUACACGUUCAUUCCAAUAUGGAAUUCCAGCUGGAGUGGUUUGUGUCUGAACUGGUAGAACUACCUUAAACCGUUUGAACAGAAGGCCUUCGCCAGCUUGUCACAACUUGGUGUUCCAUCAAUCCCUCGAAGUUUAAUCAACCUCCCUGCCAUCUGGAAUCUUGCCUUUCCAGA